rnacentral:rRNA from 1 species
CAGCGUCGCCGCGGUAACACGUAGGUCCCGAGCGUUGUCCGGAUUUAUUGGGCGUAAAGCGAGCGCAGGCGGUUAGAUAAGUCUGAAGUUAAAGGCUGUGGCUUAACCAUAGUACGCUUUGGAAACUGUUUAACUUGAGUGCAAGAGGGGAGAGUGGAAUUCCAUGUGUAGCGGUGAAAUGCGUAGAUAUAUGGAGGAACACCGGUGGCGAAAGCGGCUCUCUGGCUUGUAACUGACGCUGAGGCUCGAAAGCGUGGGGAGCAAACAGGAUUAGAUACCCCUGUAGUCCCUGUCUCUUAUACAC